rnacentral:rRNA from 1 species
CGUAGGGUGCAAGCGUUAAUCGGAAUUACUGGGCGUAAAGCGUGCGCAGGCGGUUUUGUAAGUCUGUCGUGAAAGCCCCGGGCUCAACCUGGGAAUUGCGAUGGAGACUGCAAGGCUUGAAUCUGGCAGAGGGGGGUAGAAUUCCACGUGUAGCAGUGAAAUGCGUAGAGAUGUGGAGGAACACCGAUGGCGAAGGCAGCCCCCUGGGUCAAGAUUGACGCUCAUGCACGAAAGCGUGGGGAGCAAACAGGAUU